rnacentral:rRNA from 1 species
UACAGAGGGUGCGAGCGUUGUUCGGAUUCACUGGGCUUAAAGGGCGCGUAGGCGGGGGACAUAGUCGGUGGUGAAAUCGUUCGGCCCAACCGGACAACCGCCUCCGAUACUGGUCCCCUCGAGGGGGGUAGGGGCAUGCGGAACUUCGGGUGGAGCGGUGAAAUGCGUAGAUAUCCGAAGGAACGCCGGUGGCGAAAGCGGCGUGCUGGACCCUUUCUGACACUGAGGCGCGAAAGCCAGGGGAGCAAACGGG